GUGAUACAUGUUACAUGGAACAUAUUCAAAAUAUGCAAAACGAACAACAGCCAACCCAACCCCAAUCUGGUUAAAUCACACCCCUAAUUAAGCAUCUUGAUAUGGGGUAUGUGGGUAUGGAUUGAAUUGGGUAUGCAUCAUGAAAGAAGUCACAUACAACCUAUAUUUAAAUUGUAGGAAAAUUUUCACUUUGAUACAUUCAUUAAAUUCAGCACAUCCCAAUCUGAUCAGCUUCUGGUUAGAGUAAAAUUGGCCUGUAAGUGAAUUAAUCCCAUCUUCAAUUCUCACCUUUUCUCCUUCUAAGAAAAUAGACAAAUAUAUAUAUAAAUCUUAUUAAGUCAUCUGAUUUGAACAUUCUUUCGUGGAAUUUAAGGACUUCUAACAUGUGGACUGAGAUGCCAAAAGUUUCACUUCCAUACCACUGGAAAUAUCUCCUCCUCUCUUUGCUAUUAAAAGUAAACUAGAUCAUGAGGCAUGGCAUGUGAAACAAAAUAACCAAGCAUGGCAAAAAUUCUAAAGUCUCCUCUUCUUCUCCUUCACAUUUUCUUGCUCUCCUUACUUUCACUAAAGACCAUAGCAUCACCUGCAACACAAGCAGGAACUCUUAUCCAAUGGAAAAACAGCCUCCUCCCUUCUUCUUUUCUCAGUUCAUGGUCCUCUACCAACCUUACCAACCUUUGCAAAUGGAAUGGCAUUGUCUGCGACUCAACCGGGACAGUCUCCGAAAUAAUCAUCUCUGGCGCCAAACUCAAUGGAACACUAGCCCAGUUCAACUUCACUCCAUUUCUUGAUGUCACUCGCUUUGACCUCAGCAACAACAAUCUCAGCGGACCUAUACCUUCGGAAAUAGGCCAGUUAACAAAGCUCCAGUACGUAAGCUUCUACAACAACUAUCUUACUGGUAAAAUCCCCUAUCAGUUCAGAAAUCUUCCAAAGGUAUGGCACUUGACCUUGGAUCAAACUACUUAGAAACACCUGACUGGUCUAAGUUCUUGAGCAUGCCUUUGUUGACCUGGCUUAGCUUUGGUUAUAAUCACCUCACUUCUGGGUUCCCAGAAUUUAUACUUUAUUGCCAAAACUUGACUUACUUGGAUUUGGCCCAGAAUCAGUUGAAUGGAACAGUACCAGAAAUGGUAUUUACCAAUCUGGGCAAGCUUGAGUACCUUAAUCUAACUGACAAUCAGUUCCAGGGACCAGUGUCUCCAAACAUUAACAAGCUUUCCAAACUCAUAGAUGUUCAUCUAGGAUGAAACAAGUUCAGUGGUGUAAUUCCUGAAGAUAUUGGCUCAAUGUCCAAUCUUCAAAUUAUAGAACUGUACAACAAUUCAUUGGAAGGCAGAAUUCCUUCUUCAAUAGGUCAGCUCACGGACCUCUGGCAUUUCGAUGUUAGAUGGAAUUCCUUGAAUUUUCCAAUUCCUUCUGAGCUAGGCUUUUGUACUAACCUCACCAUCUUGGCCCUUGCUACGAAUCCACUCACUGGGGAAUUGCCUUUGUCUUUAACCAACCUGACCAAAGUUACAGACUUGGGUUAAUCUGGCAAUAACCUUUCAGGUGAGAUCUCACCUUAUUUCUUCAGCAGUUGGACAGAAUUGACCUCAUUGCAACUUCAACACAAUCUUUUCACUGGCAAAAUUCCAUCGGAAAUUGGCCUUUUGACCAAGCUCCAAUAUCUUUUACUGUUCGGUAAUCAGUUCACAGGCUCAAUUCCUUCUGAGGUAGGGAACCUGAAAAAUUUGAUGGAAUUAGACCUUUCAGACAACCUCCUCUCUGGUCCAAUUCCUCUAGAAUUGUGGAACCUCAGCAACCUUUAUACCUUCCAUCUUUUCUCAAACAAUCUCACUGGCACAAUCCCACCAGAAAUUGGAAAUAUGACUUCGCUGAUAAGUCUUGAUUUCAACACCAACCAGCUAUACGGGGAACUGCCAGAAAACAUCUCUCACCUCAGUAAUUUAGAGGUCAUAUCUCUUUUCACCAAUAACUUCUCGGGUAAUAUUCCAAGUGACUUUGGGAAAUUUAGUCCUUCUCUAAGCAGUAUUAGCUUUUCGAACAACAGCUUCUCUGCAGAACUGCCACCUGAAUUGUGUAGCGGCUUCCUUCUUCAACUAUUCACAGUGAAUAGUAACAACUUCACAGGUCCAUUGCCUGACUGCUUGAGAAAUUGUUCGCUACUAGAGAGGGUGCAAUUUGAUGGGAACAACUUCAAUGGCACCAUCACAAAUGCAUUUGGGGUUCAUCCAAAUCUUUAUUUCAUUUCUCUUAAUGACAAUCAAUUUAUUGGCAAAAUAUCACCAGAGUGGGCAAAAUGUGAAUCUCUAACCACUUUAGAGAUGGGAAGAAAUAGAAUUUCAGGUGAAAUUCCAGCUGAGCUUGGGAAUUUGACUCAAUUGCACUCUUUAAUUCUGGACUCGAAUGAAUUGUCCAGGAAAAUUCCAAGUGAAUUGGGAAAUCUAAGCCUGUACAAGCUCAGUCUGAGUGAGAAUCAUCUGACAGGAGAGAUUCCUCAGCGUCUAAGAAGUUUGGGUCAGCUUCAGGAACUUGAUUUGUCGGAGAACAAAUUGACUGGGAACAUACCAAAAGAGCUUGAGAAUUGUGGUAGCUUAUUGAGCUUGGACUUGAGCAACAAUAACCUAUCGGGUGAAAUACCAUCUGAACUUGGUAACUUAAUUGCAUUGAGUGUCUUCUUAGACCUCAGCAGCAAUUCACUCUCAGGAAUGAUUCCUUCAAACCUUGCAAAGCUUACACGUUUGGAGAGCCUUAACAUUUCACAUAACCAGCUCUCAGGGGAAAUCCCUGCAUCAUUUAUCAGCAUGGUUAGUGUAAUCUCCACCUCUAUUGAUUUUUCUUAUAACAAGUUAACAGGUCAAAUCCCAACUGCUAAAGUUUUCGAAAAAGCACCUGCAAAAGCUUACAUUGGAAACUCAGGUUUGUGUGGAAAUGCAGCAGAACUAAGUACUUGUUACACAGAUUUCACAAAGCAAAAGCAUUCUAAUACACUACUAAUUGCUGUCCUCAUUCUGGUUUGUGGCCUCUUAUUGCUUGCAAUUAUUGUUGCUGGAUUCAUAAUAAUUUACAGUAAAACUAAAUUUCACUAUGAAGAAAACAGAAGAAUUGGAGAGUCCCAUGUCAGCUCUGAGUCAUUGAUAUGGGAAAGAGAAGGUAAAUUCACAUUCGGGGAUAUUGUGAAGGCCACUGAGGACUUCAAUGAGAAGUACUGCAUUGGAAAAGGUGGAUUUGGAACCAUUUACAGAGCAGCAUUGCCAACAGGUCAAAUUGUUGCUGUUAAAAGGCUCAACAUGUCAGACUCCACUGACAUACUAGCAGUCAAUCGCCAGAGUUUUGAGACUGAGAUUUGUGUGUUGACAGAAGUUAGGCACCGGAAUAUCAUUAAGCUUUAUGGGUUCUGUUCCAUAAGGGGGUACAUGUACUUGGUCUAUGAAUAUGUAGAGAGAGGCAGUUUGGGAAAUGCAUUGCAUGGGUUGGAAGGGAAGGAGCUGAACUGGAAUACGAGGGUGAAAAUUGUACAAGGUGUGGCUCAUGCAGUUGCUUACUUGCACCAUGAUUGCUCUCCACAAAUUGUGUACCGAGACAUAACUGUGAAUAACAUAUUACUCGAGUCUGAGUUCGAGCCACGACUCUCAGAUUUUGGAGUUGCAAGGCUGUUGAACCCAGAUACAACUAAUUGGACAAUUGCUGGAUCUUAUGGCUACAUGGCUCCAGAGCUUGCGCUUACAAUGCAAUUAACAGAUAAGUGUGACGUUUAUAGCUUUGGAGUGAUAGCAUUAGAAGUUAUAAUGGGAAGGCACCCAAGGGAGCUCCUAUCUUCCUUCACAUUCAAAUCGAGAACAGCAACGUCAAUUUCAGACAGUGCAGAAAUUCUAUUAAAGGAUGUGCUAGACCAAGGACUUCCACCACCAACAAGCCAUAUAGCAGAGGAGGUGGUGUUUGUAGUGACAAUAGUCUUAGCAUGUGUGCGUGACUCUCCAGAGGCACGAUCCACGAUGCGUUUUGUGGCACAAGAGCUAUCAGCUCAAAUCCAAGCUUGCCUGUCCGACCAAUUUGACAUGAUAACCAUUAGCAAGCUUACAGGCCUUCAGAAAUAGUAAAAAUUGGCAUCAGAAGUUGAGAGUGAUUAGUGUUUGGCAAGGGUAUUGCCAGGUCCGGUAUGUAUUGAGUAUUGUACAAUAUUUUUGGUCUCAUCCCAUGAAGUAAUUAGUAAAUGAGAAUGUUGGAUGUCCCAAGAAUAACAAGUGAGCACCAUUGAGGGUUAUAUGGAUACUUUUUCCAUUUGAGAUGCAUGUUUAUAGUUUGUAUAUCUGUUUCAUUGUAUACAAAUACAUACGCAUAGUUCUUCAUGUAAAGAACCUAAUUUUUACUAUAUACACUACUUCACCUACCAUAACCUGCAAGAUUUUUCCUUUCCCCUUAUGUUUCUUGCUGGAAAUUUCAUGACUUGCUAACCAUUUUCCCCCCAGUCAAUCUCAUUAUUUGUUUAAUAACAAUUUUCUAUCUUUUGCUGAAUUUUCUUAUUAAGCAUAUGAACUGAAGAAUCUCCUCAUCCUUCGUGUCCUCUUUCUUUUCUGGCUGCUCAAUGUUAGCUUUUGACUAAGUCAAAAUGGCUGUGAAUGGGACACCUCAUGCAUGGUUCCUGGACGGAAUAAACAAGCCAAUAUGGCUGUGGCCUGUGGGUGGGACAGGCUAAUUCUCCCAUUUUAUUCCAAAAAUAGGAGAAUUUGGAAUAAAAUAAAAUAAAAGGAGUAUAGUUAUUAAUUUGUAUGAUAUCUUAUCAUUUUUAUUUAUUUCCCGUUUAAUUUUUAAUACAUUCAAAUCAAGGAGAAAGAUAUCUAUUUCCCUCUUACUUAAUUUUUAAGACAUCUAAUUCUAAAUAAGGAGAGGGAUACCAGGAUACCAUUCCCCUCCCUACUCAUAUCUCAUACCUUCUACUCUACUGGACUUAUCUUCAGGACUCCAAACUGACAAACAUCUUCUACUCCUCUCUCAUAUACCUCCAAACUUACAAACAUCAUAAACAAAUGUAAAGCAGAAUAUGCAUAGAUAAAAGGCAAUCCACCUAGGUUAUAUUCCAAGGUUUCUAAACCUUUUAAUGCUCAUGAGUCGGUGUUCAAGGAUUAAGAAGAAUGGAAAACUAUAUGACUAGGAAAGUUGCCAUAAAAUACCUAAAAAAGAUGUACUUAUGAGAUACCCGGCUUUAUUCUCUUGAUUAGUGUGGGUGCAUCCCUAAAUAAUUUGCAUUUCCUCUAAUUAAUUAACAACGCAGUACCAGAGUAUUCAAACGGAGAGGAUUCCUGCACCAUAAAAACAGCAGACACAAUAUACAUAAAUGUUGUUUCAAAUUAUUUCUUUAGCCCUGUCGUUGGUUAGAUUGUUGAUCUGGGUAGUAGUGUUAGCAGCUGUUGUAGCAGCAGUGUUUCUCUUUUGGUCCAACACCAAGUAGAAAUAUAGUUCCAGGCAGUGGCAUUGAAGAAGUCAACCUGUGACUUAUGAGAGACGUGUCUGUGAUCACAUUAUAUACAUUAAGCACUAAACAUCCAUGCAAUGCACACCCAUAAAUUUUGACACCAAUAGAAUCAACAAAACUAACAAUGCACAAAGACAGUAAAUUAAAAUCACAGUAUUUGGGGCACAAAAGGUUUAAGUCAAAUAUGCAGCAAUACAGCAGGAAACACCAGCCAUUUACGGAAGUUCAAUUCAAGAAUGCCACCAAUUUCUCUAUCUAGUUUGAGGCUUAGAGCAUGACUUGUUAAGAGAAUUCAAAAUUUUCCAAAUUCUCCAUUAAUGCUUACAAUACACAGUGUAGGUUGGCAUAAUGGUGAAUUCACUGGGUGCAUAGCACUUUGUGCCAUGAGCACACGACAAGUGCCAUAAGCAACAAACAUAUGAUAUAAUCAUCUUGGGAUCAAGCUAAGAGAUCCAUAACACUUAAAAACAGGAUACAAUCAAAUACCAAAGACGUCAUAAUUACUCACCCCCUCUGUAACAGAGAGAGUCCUAUUUCAAAAUCCAUCUUUUACAGGGUGGCAAGGAAAGGGAAUAUGUUGAACACAAGGAGUGAUGAGUGUGUGACUUUGGAAUUGACAAACCAUGUCACAGCUAGAUAUUUCAUAUUUUUUUCUAUGAGAUCACAAUCAAUGAAAAAAUGCUAACCAACUUUAAAUUAUUAAAGACAUUAAACUGGAAGUCAAAAUGUUAUAACUGUUCCAUCCCACAUACCUUCUCCGAUUGAAUUCCUACAUCCAGAAGAUCCAUCUUACCUUGAUACACAUCCAACAAUUGAGGAACACUGGCCUGAAAUUUAAUCACAAACUUUUCCAAAAAACACUUCUCGCUAGGUAGUAAAAAGGUUGCUGAGGAGAACUUACUCUUGAUCAAAUCCUUGGCUAACAAAACUUGAACAACUGAACACCUAGGGAUAAUCCUCUUCUCCAAGCAUAAACCUAGAACUGAAGGAUUUUUAGCAAUGUCUGCUGACGGCCAACCCAUUUUGUAUACAAGGAAGUCCAUUGUUUUUGUGAUCUUCUCUUCUGAUAAAAGCACAAAAUUUGGAUUCCUUCUAAAUGCUAACAGAGCUACAUCCUUGGACCAACCCCACCUCUUAUAAACUUCCAAUUUAGAUUCCCACAUUGGCUUCUUCAUCUUCAAAAUCACCUGGAUUGCUAGGACAAAUACCGAUUUCGAAGGAUCAAAUCCCAUUUCCUUAACCUCAUGGACAGCCUUCACAAACCUAGCAUGUUUAAUGAACGCACUACCCGGAAAAUUGGUCACCAAGAAAGAGAUGGCUGAUUCAGGUACUCCAAAUUCUCUCAAAAGUGCAAUAUUUGGAAUCAUAUUAUUAGUUACAUCAAAUAGAAAAGAAAGCUGUGACCGCUUCAAAGUUGUAAUAACUUUCUCGUCCACCACAAGUACACUCUUGAGGAAAUUAUAGCAAGGGAUAAGAUGGUUUUCCAAACUCCUAACCAAUAGUAAAGGACUUGAAGUGAGAAUCCGAGUGAGGUCAGAGCUUGAAACCCCUACCUUAGAAAGGAAAAAUUCAAUUUUGGGCAAAAGGGUCUUCCCAGGAUCAGAUAAAAGCAACAUUGGGUGCGUUCUGACAAGUUUGGCGAUUUGGGUAUUGGUAAACCCAUGCUCUUUGAGAAGACUAAGCACUGAGUCUGGUCGAUCUGGGUUUCCCAAUUGUACCUUCUGUGAUGCUAAAAUAGCAGAUUUUGAGGACAACCCACAAGAGUUUAUGAGGUAAGACACUGUAAAAGAAUGCUUUUCUUGUUGCCGUUGUUGGUGU